rnacentral:rRNA from 1 species
AUUGAACGCUGGCGGCAGGCCUAACACAUGCAAGUCGAACGAGUGGCGGAGGGGGGAGUAAUGUCUGGGAAACUGCCUGAUGGAGGGGGAUAACUACUGGAAACGGUAGCUAAUACCGCAUACCAUCGGAUGUGCCCAGAGGGGAUUAGCUAGUAGGUGGGGUAACGGCUCACAUAGGCGACGAUCCCUAGCUGGUCUGAGAGGAAGACCAGCCACACUGGAACUGAGACACGGUCCAGACUCCUACGUGAGGCAGCAGUGGGGAAGAUUGCACAAUGGGCGCAAGCCUGAUGCAGCCAUGCCGCGUGUAUGAAGAAGGCCGUCGGGUUGUAAAGUACUUUCAGCGGGGAGGCGUUACCCGCAGAAGAAGCACCGGCUAACUCCGUGCCAGCAGCCGCGGUAAUUC